ACAUCAAAGCCAAAGCUGUCCAUAGUUGACACCCUUUCCUGCGCAGAAGUCAAAGCUGACCAGCCACAACCGACUUUCUGUCCCAUGGCAUCGAUGAAGUGGAGGAGGACAAACCACAUGAACUUCUGUGUUAAAACAAUAUUACGUGAGCAGAGCACUUUCUGACAAACCAGAGGUGGAUACGGCUGUGGAUCCCCUCACAAUGAGCAAAGAUAAGAAGUCUUGUAAGAGGGGUAUGAGUCACCUGCGGCUGUGUGGCCUCCAGACAGGAAAGAGAGAAAGAGGAGCAGAAUCCCACCAUUUCCCAUCCUUAAAAAAAAAAAAAAAAUCCUAUUAAUUCUAUUUUUGCUGUUGAUUGUUGAUCAUGAAUCAAGAAUUUAUUCUAUUAAUAGUUGUUUUGUUUAAAUAAAUUAUUGCAU